GACGAACGCUGGCGGCGUGCUUAACACAUGCAAGUCGGACGGUCUGUAUAUUGAAAGCUUGCUGGAUAUGUACGGAUAGUGGCGGACGGGUGAGUAACGCGUGAAUACCUGGCCAUCGGAGGGGGACAACGGCUGGAAACGGUCGCUAAUACCGCGUAAGCCGUAAGGUGAAAGGCCACGGAAGUGGCUGCCGAUGGAUGGGUUCGCGUCCUAUCAGCUGGUUGGUGGGGUAAGGGCCUACCAAGGCUAAGACGGGUAGCCGGUCUGAGAGGGUGAUCGGCCACACUGGAACUGAGAUACGGUCCAGACUCCUACGGGAGGCAGCAGUGGGGAAUAUUGGGCAAUGGGGGGAACCCUGACCCAGCGACGCCGCGUGAGGGAAGAAGGUUUUCGGAUCGUAAACCUACUGUUGUACGGGAAGAAGGAAGUGACGGUACCGUACGAGGAAGCCCCGGCAAACUACGUGCCAGCAGCCGCGGUAAUGUCUGUACU
rnacentral:rRNA from 1 species